CCUACGGGGUGCAGCAGUGAGGAAUAUUGGUCAAUGGGCGGAAGCCUGAACCAGCCAAGUCGCGUGAGGGAUUAAGGCCCUGCGGGUCGUAAACCUCUUCUGCCGGGGAGCAGUGGUUCGGACGUGUCCGGGCCGGGAGAGUACCCGGAGAAAAAGCAUCGGCUAACUCCGUGCCAGCAGCCGCGGUAAUACGGAGGUUGCGAGCGUUAUCCGGAUUUAUUGGGUUUAAAGGGUGCGUAGGCGGGCAGUUAAGCCGCCGGUCAAAGGUCGGGGCUCAACCCCGGCCUGCCGUCGAAACUGGGUGCCUUGAGUGGGCGAGAAGUAUGCGGAAUGCGUGGUGUAGCGGUGAAAUGCAUAGAUAUCACGCAGAACCCCGAUUGCGAAGGCAGCAUACCGGCGCCCUACUGACGCUGAGGCACGAAAGUGCGGGUAUCGAACAGGAUUAGAUACCCUAGUAGUC
rnacentral:rRNA from 1 species